UCAGCACCCGACCACACGACGUUGACUUUACAGGGAUAAUCUAAUAAUUUACCAGAUAUUGUAUAUGCUAUUAACUAAUGUUAGCCCAAACAAGAUUAUUAAUUAGACAAACAACAGCGUUAUGUUAUUACAUGUGUUACAAUUAAAAUAGAUCUACCGACAUUUAGCAAACCGACAUAGUUUUUGCACAGAGCCGUGCCCAACGUCAUGCCCUACGUUAACUGCGCUCACCGCGCCGCAAGAAAGGUCUUGUUGCAAAGACAGACGCAAAUCACGGGCUGUAGACAGCCUAUCGCUUUCGGGCAGCUGUGAUUGACCGUGCAAAGCAGCUUGUGUUUGGACAUCCCCAGCAAACAGAUGUGUAAAGAGUGGGAGACGACGUGAUUGACUAGGAGCCGGAGGAGAGAUCUCAUAAAAUCAUUAUAGCACCUUCAAACAGUGGCCCUGCUAUGUUGAGGUGUGUCAGCUAUGACUGAUG